AGCGGCGGACGGGUGAGUAAUGCCUAGGAAUCUGCCUAUUAGUGGGGGACAACGUUUCGAAAGGAACGCUAAUACCGCAUACGUCCUACGGGAGAAAGCAGGGGACCUUCGGGCCUUGCGCUAAUAGAUGAGCCUAGGUCGGAUUAGCUAGUUGGUGAGGUAAUGGCUCACCAAGGCGACGAUCCGUAACUGGUCUGAGAGGAUGAUCAGUCACACUGGAACUGAGACACGGUCCAGACUCCUACGGGAGGCAGCAGUGGGGAAUAUUGGACAAUGGGCGAAAGCCUGAUCCAGCCAUGCCGCGUGUGUGAAGAAGGUCUUCGGAUUGUAAAGCACUUUAAGUUGGGAGGAAGGGUCGUUGCCUAAUACGUGACGGUUUUGACGUUACCGACAGAAUAAGCACCGGCUAACUCUGUGCCAGCAGCCGCGGUAAUACAGAGGGUGCAAGCGUUAAUCGGAAUUACUGGGCGUAAAGCGCGCGUAGGUGGUUUGUUAAGUUGGAUGUGAAAUCCCCGGGCUCAACCUG
rnacentral:rRNA from 1 species